CUCUUUCAUCUAGGCACAUGUUAUUUUGAAACGCUUCAGUUUUUAACACCGCAGUGCAGCACUGAUGUAAUGAAGAGCUUUGACUUACUUGAAGUAUAACCCAGUGGCCUUCUUUUGAUGCCUUUUCCAUAGCUAUUUCUGCUGCAGCUUCCUGUCCUUGACCCAGCGAUACAUUGUGAAGUUCUCCUGAGUCAAUGAAUCCUGGUAAAAUGCAGUAAAGGAUUUAAGGUUAUCGUCUGUCUCUCUCUAACUUCUGACAUCUCUUUAUAACAAGAAAGAGUCACAGCCAACUGUAACAGGAGGGCAACACAAUGAAUACUGAUUGUGUUCACAGAUGCACGUCUUUAAUAACAGAAGCACUUGUUAUACAUUUCUAAAAUUAUCUGAUCAGCUUCCUACAAACAAGAACUUUUUCAUGAACUUGAUACAUGACUAUGUAUUUUACAUAUAUGCAGUUUUCACCAUGUACAAAAUUCAAGAUGCUUUAAAAUGCCUCUCAUGCAAUUGUACAUAAAUGGUACAUUUAU